UACGAAGGGAGCUAGCGUUGUUCGGAAUUACUGGGCGUAAAGGGCGCGUAGGCGGCUUGGCAAGUUGGAUGUGAAAGCCCAGGGCUCAACCCUGGAAUUGCAUUCAAGACUGCUUUGCUUGAAUUCGGUAGAGGUUGGUGGAAUUCCCAGUGUAGAGGUGAAAUUCGUAGAGAUUGGGAAGAACACCCGUGGCGAAGGCGGCCAACUGGACCGACAUUGACGCUGAGGCGCGAAAGCGUGGGGAUCAAACAGG
rnacentral:rRNA from 1 species